UACGAAGGUGGCAAGCGUUGUUCGGAUUUACUGGGCGUACAGGGAGCGUAGGCGGUUGGAUAAGCCCUCCGUGAAAUCUCCAGGCUUAACCUGGAAAGUGCAGAGGGGACUGUUCAGCUAGAGGAUGGGAGAGGAGCGCGGAAUUCCCGGUGUAGCGGUGAAAUUCGUAGAUAUCGGGAGGAACACCAGUGGCGAAGGCGGCGAUCUGGGAAGAGUACUGACGCUGAGGUGCGAAAGCGUGGGGAGCAAACAGG
rnacentral:rRNA from 1 species